rnacentral:tRNA from 1 species
GCCGGGGUGUUGGAAUGGUAGACAAGACGGACUUAAAAUCCGUUGGAUGCAUAAUCCGUGAGGGUUCGAGUCCCUCCCUCGGCA